rnacentral:lncRNA from 1 species
AGAAGUUUUUCUAAGUUAUUUAAACUUCUCACCACACAAAAUCUGGAUUUGUAUCUGUCACGUAGUAAUUGCUUGAUAAAUAUUUCAUACUAGGACCUUUCAUUGGCUGAACAAAGACAAAGACAGAAAUCAAGGAAGGUCAAAGAAGCAGUCAGUUUUCUGGCACCCAAAGUUGUUGGAGAAGGGUACAGAGUCGGUAAAUAAGUCAUAUGACAGACAGGCAGUAUUUUCUUAUUUUAAUAACAAGUUUAAAAAUCCCACUUCUUGUACUUACCUUCUGUCUGACGUCAUCAGUAUUUUAAAAUGCCAACUGGGAUCAAGUUCAACACUGCAUUACUGAAGAAUCCAGAUUAUCUACAUUUCAAGUGCCAAAUGAAAGAAAGAACCCAGAAAAUAAAACAAUAUGAUGAUAACAG